AAAUGUAGUCCAUGAAAUUACUCCACAGCAUGGUCGGUUCUUUGGUUUCAAAAGUCAGUGGCACUUUUGAGCGAAAAGUUCAUUGGCAAUACCUGCAUUGAGUUUUUGGACGUGUCUACCAAGAAAGAUCUGCCUCAAAUAGAUAAAUAGAAAAUAGAAGUCAAUUGGACGUCCAUCGAAUUACUAAAACCAUUGAGAGUGAAUGUGGCUCAGGUGAGCAAUAAUGACUCCCUCGAGAAGAAAAUUUAGACAGAUGGACUUUGGAUGUACGUACAUGUAUUUUUUGCCUGAUUUGCCUGCAUCAUCAUGGCCACUACUAUCGCCACAGCCGUGAGUGGCUUUUUUCCAAGCGUCCUAUUUAUGCCAAAUCCGUGAUUGCUUUGUGUCACUGAACCGUGGACACAUAUUGAAUUGGUCCCUACGCACAUAUUCACGUCUCGGGCUAAUUUACGAUAGCCAACUCUAUCUCUCUGUGUCUCUCUGUUUCUCUCUAUUUUUGAAGGAUGGAGGAAGACUUCAAUGGCUUCAUUACGGUUAGACUCUCUUUUGAAACUCCCCCCCUUGACCAAUGUGGCUGAUUUGAGUGAACUUUCGCAUGGCUUCGAAUCUCUUCUUCACCAAAUUAGAAAGAGAAUCGAUUUGAGAAACAAUCAGGCCCGUAUCGAAUUGAUUUAACCUCAUGUGAGGCCGUCCUCCCAGGAAUCCAACUCUGACCUUUUUCCAGAGCCAUUUUGUCACUUUGGUGCGUGAAACGCGAAAUCCCGUGUACUAUGUCCGAACAAUCAGAGUGCAAAAGUGAGAUCCAAUCCAAUGAAUGAUGCAUUUCUUGGAAUGCUCUUGGCAUAUUGCCUGCCAUGAAUAUCGGAUAUCUGUCAAUCCAUUGCAGAAAAGGGAAAUCCAAUAUUCUCAAUGCUCGAUCCAUAUUCUGAAUACAUUUGUAACGUGGCAAAGUGAUGGACAGAUAGCGGAAAUCUCAUUCAAAUCCCGGCAUUUACAUUCCACCAAGGAGUCAUGAUGAUCGGGAAACUCCCGUCAAGCCAUUUUCACCACCGCAAAGAACAAUAUCAUCAUAAUAAUGAUCAUAAUUAUUGGCCAGGGAUGUUUUCACUAUGGAGGUAAAGUACUACACGCAGAGUACGCACACUCAAACCAUGAAGGUUCCGGGCGGCUAGCACAAAGAGCUCAACCAGAAGGUCCACACCAAUUGGUAUUCAAGGCCCUGGAUAGCCUUUGGUAUAACUGAAUCUGUUGUAUAACUAAGCCUUAAGCCCAUUGAUUAUGUUUGCGGACUAAUUGAUAAACACCACCGUGAGAUUGAUGAUGAAAAAGACUCGAUGGUACGUCGUCAAUGGUGAGUCGGCAGUACUCGGUUUUAAAACGUUAUUAAUAAGCUUUCAUGAUUUUUUAAGUUUUUCGUCAUUUUGAGCGCCUCAAGUCGUUCACUUUGGACCUCUUCUAUCUCCAUGCGAUGAACGAGUUGAAUUCGUGACUGAGGAUUUCCAGAUCAUGUUUCCAAAAUUUCAAAUUUUCCUUUUUUCAUAUUCACGCCUAAAUAGAGACAAAUCACUGGACAGAAUGACUGCAAUUACAUAUUUGAAUUCAGCCAUGCGCUCCGGGAACCAAUUUAUCAUUCAUACGUGACAACAAAACAACUUGCACUCAUUCGGACGACGACGACGACCACGCUGAGGUUCUCUCGUUUUAGAGCUCAGGUACGAGUAUAUUCGCAUCCAAGUCAAUUACAUACUCGAACGAAACAUCGUCACAAUUUGCACGUGCUUCACUUUGGUUUUGUACAUGGAACAUUAUUGCAUCCGUCUUUCAAAUCGUCACAUAAAGAGACGUUGAAUAUUUUACGUAAGCCUGGGAUUAACUGGUGUUUUUAUUUUUCAUUUGUUCGUAUGGAAAGCACCUUUAGGACCAUAAAAAGCGCACAAUUGUCGAGAUUGAUCGGAAAUCGCCGACUGAGUUGCCAAUUCAGAUUGAAGAAGAAACAUUUGACGGAUGGGAGGCUGGAGCGUCUCCAGGUUCGAUGCUUACGCAUCUACGAGUAGCAUCGCCAGAUAUAAUUAGCAUUUCAAAGCCCCCAUUUCAAAAGGCUUUCUCAUAUCAAAUCAAUGGCAGGAGAGGGUUCUUCAAUAGCAAACGAGGGUAGCUUCAAAGCUGGCUUGCCCGAGGGGCACAAUAGGUACCCAACAUGUCCAUACCUAGGUGGGUAGCUUGAAGUUGGAUGUGGAUUUACUUUCAGGAUCUGGAUCUGUUCUGAUGUCCUAUCGAGUCGCACUGAAUUAGGUACAAAAAGGGGUUAUGGGUUGGAAAUUUGGGGAGGAGGGGCCAGAAAUUUCGGCCGUACGUAUUUCAUCCAUUGAAACUGUUCACUGUUCAGUCUCCCUCUUACUUUUUCUUCUCCCCUCUCUCUCUCUCUCUUGGUCGAUCGUUCAUUUGGUCUUUGGUUUGGGCAAACAACAAGCCGUCCUCUUCAACCGCCUUUUUUAGCCGUGUUGUUGUACUCUGUAUAAACUACAACCGUUCCUGAAUGAUGUGCCAA